rnacentral:tRNA from 1 species
GAGCUGGUAAUUUAAUAGGUAGAAGUUUUUCUUGUCGAGAAAAAAAGUGUCGGAUCGAAGCCGAUUCAGCUCG